rnacentral:rRNA from 1 species
UGGGGAAUAUUGCACAAUGGGCGAAAGCCUGAUGCAGCAACGCCGCGUGAGUGAUGAAGGUCUUCGGAUUGUAAAGCUCUGUCUUUUGGGACGAUAAUGACGGUACCAAAGGAGGAAGCCACGGCUAACUACGUGCCAGCAGCCGCGGUAAUACGUAGGUGGCGAGCGUUGUCCGGAUUUACUGGGCGUAAAGGGUGCGUAGGCGGAUGUUUAAGUGAGAUGUGAAAUACCCGGGCUUAACUUGGGUGCUGCAUUUCAAACUGGAUAUCUAGAGUGCAGGAGAGGAGAAUGGAAUUCCUAGUGUAGCGGUGAAAUGCGUAGAGAUUNGGAAGAACACCAGUGGCGAAGGCGAUUCUCUGGACUGUAACUGACGCUGAGGCACGAAAGCGUGGGUAGCAAACNGAUAGAUACCCUGGUAGUCC